CAGAAAUAACCCCUGUGCAUCGCCAAGUGUGACCAAAACAGAAAAACAAACAAACAAAAAAACCCAGAACAUUCAUAGAACACAGAGUUGAGGUGGGGGAUGCAUCAGGGUGGGUUUACUCCUCCGGCCUCUGCACUCAGGCAGCACUCCUGGCAGUGCUCAGGAACCUCUUGGGAUGCCAGUAAUGAAACCCGAGUAGGACGCUUGCAAGACAAGCACCUCGCCCACUUUACUAUAUCUCCAGCCCCUUUCUUCAGGAAAUUUUGAAUUUCUUAUUGUUUUUUAAUUACAGUUUUGGGGCCACAGCACACAGUGCUCAGGGCUUACACUUGGAUCUGAGCUCAGGCAUUUUCCUGGAAGUGCUGGGGGGGGAAACUAUAAGCUUUUGAAAAUUGAACCCAAAUUAGCUGCUUGAAGAGAAUCACCCUAUGAACUGUACUAUCUCUGCUAACCAUCUAUGAUAUUAUUUUGCCAGAAAAAAAAAAUUCUGCUUUACCUGCCAAGUUUUUGAGCACCAUCUCAUCCCCAGUGUUCAUCUUUCCCAGGCCAGGGGUGCUCCCUGCUGUUCUGGUGAAUAUUUGCAGAAAUGGCGUUUCUACCGGCACAUAUGUCCACACAAAGCUUUGACUUUCUGACUGGACAUUGUAUAUCACCUCGUUCCUAGAACAAAAAUAUGAGAUGUAUCAUUGGAGAGGGCGUGUCUAGCAUUUUGGUCCAACCUAGUGUUGCUUCUUUUUAUUUUUUACUUUUGGGUCACAAACAGCGAUGAUCAGGUGGGUUACUCCAGGCUCUACACCCAGGAAUCACUCUUGGCGGCGCUCGGGGGACGAUAUGGGAUGAUGGGGAUCGAACCCAGGUCAGCCCCAUGCAAGGCAAAUGCCCAAACAGCUGUAUUAUUGCUCCACUCACCCCGAGUGUUGCUUAUUUUCAGUCCAGCUGAGCAUGUGCUCAGGUCUUACUUUCUGCAGUGCGGGUCUGGGCCACUGGUGCGGGUCUUGGACAUAGGGUGUCUGUGUAAGGCCAUCACCUCCAGGAACCUUCUAGAGUAGCACCUUCACAUUGCUGCAGACCUGGCUGCCUUAGAGUGAUUUCUUGGCACACUGAGCCAGGAAUGUGCAUGGAGGCUGGUUCUUCCCGAAGGAACAGGGGAGAUGUCCUGAGCCCCUCUAGUGCCGUCCUCUGGCUGAGAAAACAGAGUGGGGACUGGCACUGUCUCCCGUCCCCUGUGUCUCACUGCUCAGGACAUAAUGACCUUCUCUGAUGUGUCCAUAAAUUUUACCCAGGAAGAGUGGACAUCCUUGGAUGCCUCUCAGCGAAAGCUCUACAGGGACGUGAUGCUGGAGACCUACCAGCACCUGCAGGCCAUUGGGCAUUCCGGAGGGAAGCCUGCGGUGAUCUCCUGGCUGGAAGGAGGAGCCCUGAGGCCGUGGAGGAGAGGUGUGUGUGCAGAAUAGUCCACGGGAUUCAGAUUCCUUUUGAUCCCUCAUCUGUGCCUCACCAGCCUGGC